GUGUAAGUUGGACACCACCUGGUCGCACAACUGUAUUGCUGUGCCCUUCUACUCAUGAGCAGUGCUGCCUGGAUGAAACCUCGAAGGGAUUCAAGCAUUUAACUGAGCCAGCUGCCUCCAUCAUGUUCUUAGUGCUUCCUAAGGCCCAAGGGGGUUCAUGAGAGUAGAACUGUGAGCCAACAAUUGAGGGAGGGCUUGAGGGUUUUAGACAGUUGCUUUGAACACUGAUUAGCAGACAAAUAUCUGUGCACAGGGGCAAUGCGGGGCCCCUCGUUGACAUAGAACAAGCCUCUGAGGGCGGACCUCCUGAAUAUAUCAGUAUAGGUCAGGGCAGUAUAAUCUGGAGUUCACUGUGGGGGCUCAGCACCUAGAACAGGAAAAAAAAAAAAAAAACCCUGAGGCUGGACUGGUCAUUGGAAUUGGGAUGGGAAGCACGGAGAAGACCGUGGUCCAGCGCCCUCUGAAGUCAUUGGCGACCGCGAUGGAAGUAGUUGGGGGUCGACAGUAAAGUUGGAGACUGAAAUUAUUUGAGCUCUUAAAAUGGGAUAAUAAGGUAACUUUCCUCCUCCUGGUAUGAGCUCAUUUAAUUGUAAAGAUCUUAAUAAAUUCAGCCUGAUUAAC
rnacentral:lncRNA from 1 species